rnacentral:lncRNA from 1 species
GGCAACCCGCUGGGGUUCCCUUCUGUACUGUGGAGCCUUUGUUCUUUUGCUCUUUGCAAUAAAUCUUGCUACUGCUCACUCUUUGGGUUCAUGCUGCUUUUACGAGCUGUAACACUCACCGCAAAGAUCUGCAGCUUCACUUCUGAGCCUAGCAAGACCACGAGCCCACCGGGAGGAACGAACAACUCCGGACGCGCUACCUUAAGAGCUGUAACACUCACCGUGAAGGUCGGCAGCUUCACUUCUGAGCCAGCGAGACCACGAACCCACCAGAAGGAAGAAACUCCGAACACAUCUGAACAUCAGAAGGGACAGACUCCACACGCGCCAUCUUAAGAGCUGUAACACUCACCGCGAGGGUCUGCGGCUUCAUUCUUGAAGUCAGUGAGACCAAGAACCCACCAAUUGCGGACACAAGCUCAUUUUAGAUGCCUAGUUUAGACAAAUAGUUCAGAUUCAUGUAACUUUACAGGUUAUACAGUGAUUUCAUAUAUAUUCAAUCUGCUAAAGUAUGUGUGUGUGUGUAUAUAUAUAUAUAUAUAUAUAUAUAUAUAUAUAUAUAUAAAUUUUUUUUUUUUUGAGUUGGAGUUUUGUUGUUGCCUCGGCUGGAGUGCAGUGGCAUGAUCUCGGCUCACUGCAACCUCCACCUUCUGGGUUCAAGUGAUUCUUCAGCAUCAGCCUCCCAAGUAGCUGGGAUUUCAGGCACCCGCCACUCGCCCAGCUAAUUUUUGUAUUCUUAGUAGAGAGGGUUUCACCAUGUUGGCCAGGCUGGUCUUAAACUCCUGACUUAGGGUGAUCUGCCCGCCUCAGCCUCACAAAGUGCUAGGAUUACAGGCAUGAGCCACCGCGCCUGGCCACAAUCUGCUAAAUACCAACUGGAGUUGUCAGGUCUUAGAUGCAGCAACUAGUUCAAAGUGAGAAGGACCGAAUACAGUGGCUUUCCAAGUUUUUCAGCUUUGACCUACGUAAAACAAUAAGGAGAACAGAAGCGAAAACAAUACAUGAAGAUAUGACAAAAACAUUUUGGGAGCUAAACAUCUGAUGGAAGAAGGAAAACUGACUAGGGUCCGAGGAAGUUGAAACGGUGGGAACAACAAGCGGCAGGCCAGUGUUGACUUCGUUGCCGCUGAAAGGCUUGGGACUGGGAGCAUCAAGCUUUCCAAAGGUAGGGGUGGAAGGAGGGGGCUGGAAAUGAAGGGUGAGUUUAAACUCGACAUAAGGAGCAGUUAGACCCUCAUGUUCCCUCCUCCAGCCUGGGCAGCUGGGUGACUGCCCCUCUCCCACUGCCCCCCCAGAAAAGGCAGGAGGUAUCUGGGUUCUCUGGAGAGAAUGAAGCAAUGGGUCCCUGGGCUUCAGGUUGUCAGCCAGCUGAGGGUGAAGAGGGAGAGAAACUGCAGCUAUUUUCUCCUGACUCUAGAGCACUAGCAGCCAGGUUCAUGGUCCCCAGGCCAGAGGCUGCAGGGUUCUUCUCUGGAAGAACCGAGCAGCCUAAAAAUUCUCUGGGCAUUGAGGGAUCUCAACACAAUGGUUGUCUCUGCCACCUCACCCUGCAGGGAAGAUGCAAAUCUUCGAAUUUUAGAGAGCAUUCAGUUGGCCUUUAAGUGCCUCUGCUCAGAUAUGAAGGAGCAAACCAGGGUUUGAGGGAAGUCUCUUCCAUGAAAGACAGAAGCCAAAAUAAAGACAUAAAUGGUGGUGAGGAGGAAAACAAGUACAAUGCAGGGAAUGUAAAAAUAUAAUUUAUAUAACUAGACUACUAAUAAUAUAAUAAUAUAACUUAUUAAGAAUGCUCAGGGCUGGGGGCAGUGGCUCACGCCUGUAAUCCCAACACUUUGGGAGACUGAGGUGGGCAGAUCACCUGAGGUCAGGAGUUCGAGACCAGCCUGGCCAACAUGGUAAAACCCUGUCUCUACGAAAAAUACAACAAUUAGCUGGUGUGGUGGUGGGUGCCCAUAGUCCCAGCUACUUGGGAGGCUGAGGCAGGAGAAUCGCUUGAACCCAGGAGGCAGAGGUUGCAGUGAGCCAAGAUGGCGCCACUACACUCCAGCCUGGGCAACAGAGUGAGACUCUGUCUCAAAAAAAAAAAAAAAAAAAAAAAAAGAGAAUGAUUAGGCCAGGCGUGGUGGCUCACGCCUGUAAUUCCAGCACCUUGGGAGGCCAAGGCAGUUGGAUCACUUGAGGUCAGGAGUUUGAGACCAGACUGGCCAACAUGGCGAAACCCUGUCUCUACUAAAAAUACAAAAAUUAGCUGGGCUUGGUAGCAGGCGCCUGUAAUCCCAGCUACUCGGGAGACUGAGGCAGGAGAAUCACUUGAACCCGGG